CACUCACACCAUUCACCAGCAGUCCAUCACCUGCUAGGCUGCCCUCGUCCUCCUGAUGCUUCGCCUCUCCAUCACCGGCCUCACCUCACCUCUGCUCCCCACGCCCGCCCCCGCCGUCCGGCUCCGCCCGCGCCCCCUCAUCCGCCUCCGCCUCAGCGCCCUCGCCGCCGGCGCUGCCUCCUCGCUCUCGCCGUCCGCCCGCAGCCUCCGCCUCCUCGAGUGGGGCAAGGUAUGCGAAGCCGUCGCCUCCUUCGCCGGCACCGCCCACGGCCGCGACGCCACCAAGAAACAACUGUGGGAGGUGGAGGACGUGAGCUAUGAGAAGAGCCAGAGGCUGCUCCAGGAGACGGAGGCGGCCGUGUGGCUGCUUGACAACGCUGGUGGGGCGAUGGAUUUCUCUGGGCUGGAUACAGUUGCGAUAGAGUCGGCAAUACAUUGUGUCUCUGGAGGUGCCGUGAUAAAAGGCCUGGAAGCAGUAGCAGUUGCUAGUCUGAUGCUGUUUGCUGAAUCCCUGCAAGUAAAUAUUAAAGCUGCCAUGAAGCUGGAUGAAGGCUCGCGUAGUCGAUUAACAACUCUUACAGAAACAAUUUUAGAUGCUGCCAUUAACAGGUCACUUGUGAAAUCCAUACAAGAUAUCGUUGAUGAUGAUGGUUCUGUAAAAGAUACCGCGAGCCCUGAGCUAAGGCGGCAUAGAGAGCGAGUGCAGCUCCUAGAGAGCAGGUUAUACCAGCUUAUGGACAAGUUGAUGCGAAGUGCUGAUAAUGAAGCUUCCUUGAAGUAUGCAUUGUAAAUGGAAGAUGUUGUAUUAGAACAACCGGGGAUAAGUCUUCAACUUUUGACGGGUUACUGCUCUCCAGCGGAUCAGAUGCUGGAAAUAUGAUAGAACCAAUUGCUGCUGUUCUGUUGAACGAUGAGUUGCAGGAAUCAAGAGCUCUAGUGGCUAAAGCUGAACUGGAUGUCUUAUCAAAACUUACAGAUAAGAUUCUUCUUGAGCUUGAUAGCAUUCAAAGUUUGCUGCAGGAAACAAUUAGACUUGAUAAGGUCACAGCUCGCGCAAAAUACAGUAUAGCAUAUGAUGGCACAUUUCCUGAUCUGUACUUGCCGAACUUUGAGAACGAAACUGUUACUAGUGCUACAAGUGGGUCUGCCAAGGAAACUUUCUCAACUCACCCCACUAAAAAGGCAUGGAAACUGUACAUGCCAAAUGCAUAUCAUCCACUACUUCUCCAGAAAUAUCAGGAAAAUCUUGAUAGUGCGAAAAGAGAUGUUGCUAGUGCCGCAGCGGAGAUUCGGAGGAGGAGGAUAUACGGGCAAGAUAUUGCAGAAGAUCAACUGGCAUCAGUCCUCGAUUCUAUGAAACUUAGGGUUUCCCAGCUGGAGAAAGACCAGCCAGUACCAGUAGAUUUUAUGAUUGCUGAAGAAACUACGGUCUUGGUCAUAACUGGCCCAAAUACAGGGGGUAAAACAAUCAGCUUAAAGACGGUUGGCCUGGCAUCGUUGAUGGCUAAGAUAGGUCUGUACAUUCUAGCUUCUGAACCAGUAAAAAUCCCAUGGUUCAACGCUGUUUAUGCUGACAUUGGAGACGAGCAAUCUUUGACCCAGUCACUCUCUACAUUUUCUGGGCAUCUGAAGCAGAUUGGUGUAUGCUUUAGUAUUACAUUUUUCUAGUUUCUAAAUCCUAACUCUCUUAAAUGAUUGUGUUACUGAAUGUAUGCAUCUUUACACAAAAAGGUUAAGCUUCAUUUCUACAUGUCCGAAUCCGUAGUUAUCAAUAUGAAAUUCAAGCCUUCUUCUUUAUUAGGCCAUUCGCGCAGAGUCAACUUCAGAGUCUUUGGUCCUUUUGGAUGAGGUAAGCAGUUUAUCCACUAUCUUGAUAAAUAUUAGAUGCAUCUUGAUUCCUUGGCUAUGUUCGUAGGCAUGGUUUGCUGGCUGAUUAUGUUUUUCAUUAUGCUUUCUGUGGUAUUCUUGUCUCUUUUCUCUAACAGUCACAUCCCCCAUACUAUUCAUGCUGCAGAAAGUUCAGAUUAAAGAAUGCAUGUUUCUGAAUUCUGACAAAUACCCCUUGCAAAUUUGCAUUGGAGAUUGUUUAUGUUGUCAGAUUCCCAGAAUGCAUUGGUGUUUACAUUAUGGUCAUGUCGUAACCAUAUGCACUUGUACAGCAUUCUGCAUGAUCAGUAAAAUCUAGGUAGGGGUCUCCCCUCUGGACUUCCUCAAAAAUAAAAUGUUUUUCUGCCUUGGAUGGUUUAUGACUUGAUCUAUAUACGAGAGUUAGAAAGAAUUAGGGAUGAAGGAAGAUGAAUUAUGGUCAUGGAACACAUGGAUGCAUGUUAAUGCCAAAUUCUUUGUUUCAAGAUAACAUAUUUCCUCUAAUUAACAAGGCAUGACCCAAAGUAAAACGGCUUAGGAGUGCCUAGGGCACCUAGUGCCUAGUGCUUUUUGAAACAUUAGUUGGAUGUGGCAAUUGUUUGUAUUCUAAGAUUCUCAAAAUGCAUUGCUGUCGAUGAUACCUUGUGCUGAAGUCAUCACUAGAAUGUUUUUGCUGACGAAGGACUUUUUCAUGAUUCAAGCAUCCUCUGAACUUUAAGUCUUCUAAAUUCGUAGUGAUAUGUACUAGGUAGGUGCUGGGACAAACCCACUUGAAGGAGCAGCUUUGGGGAUGUCUCUUUUGGAAUCUUUUGCUGAAGUUGGCUCCUUUCUGACAUUAGCAACAACUCAUCAUGGAGAACUUAAAACACUGAAAUACAGCAAUAACUCAUUUGAGAAUGCAUGCGUGGAAUUUGAUGAGGAGAAUCUGAAGCCCACCUUCAAAAUAUUAUGGGGAAUACCAGGCCGGUCAAAUGCAAUAAAUAUUGCUGAAAGGCUGGGUUUGCCCUCGGAUAUAGUGGAAAGCUCUAGGCGUUUACUUGGAACAGCUGGUGCAGAGAUAAAUGCUUUGAUAAUGGACAUGGAAAGAUUCAAACAAGAUUAUCAACAAGAUCUUCAGAAGGCACAACACCUUCUUAUGCAGUCCAAGGAGCUUCAUAAUAACUUGGAACUGGCACAAAGGAAGAUUUUAGACCACACUUCUGCUCAGAGAAAACGGAAGGCGAGAGUAAUUUCAGAGUAUGCAGUUAUGGCCCGUUCUAUCAUUCGUAAGAAGUUUCAACAGUUCCAGGAAUCCGCAAUAGCUGAAAGAGUGAAAGAAGAGAAGGCUGCAGACAACGCCAAAUCUGAGAGAGUGAAGGAUCACAUGCCAACAAGUACUGCUGCCAUGGGAAAGGCACAUAAUACAGAUACCAACUUGGCCACAGCAGCCGACGACGGUAAAGAUGGAAUUCCGGAAGUUGGUGAUUCAGUUUAUGUUCCUAAGCUCAAGAACCAAGCUACUGUAGUCAAAAUAGAUUCGUCCAAAAAUGAAGUGCAAGUUCAAGCCGGAAUGAUGAAGCUCAAACUAAAGCUGCAAGAUGUUAAGGUUCAGAAGCGGAAAGUAUCAAGAUAGCACAACUACACAGUCCUAUGCUAGAGAGAUUCAGAUAAGUCAUAAGUGUGCAUGUGCUGUCUCAAUUCAAUUCCUAACAUUUCAUUUGCAACAACCUUUCAAGUUUCAAAUGAAAAUGUUGACCAUUAUCUGCAUGUAGUUUUACUUCUGGGCAAACUAGCAGUUGUCAAAAAAACAUCAAAACAGUUGCUGAACAGCUUCUGAGUUAUGAUUAUCAUAUGGGUAUGCAAUAUUUUAUCAUUAAGUUA